rnacentral:rRNA from 1 species
CAGGUGCAUGCCUCUAGCAUGAAGUCAGACACGUG